rnacentral:rRNA from 1 species
CCCCUAGAUGUUCUGGGCCGCACGCGCGCUACACUGAACAGUUCAACAAGUCUUAACCUUGGCCGAUAGGUCUGGGUAAUCUUUGAACGCUGUUCGUGAUUGGGAUAGACCUUUGCAAUUAUGGGUCUUCAACGAGGAAUUCCUAGUAAACGCAAGUCAUCAGCUUGCAUUGAUUACGUCCCUGCCCUUUGUACACACCGCCCGUCGCACCUACCGAUUGAAUGGUCCGGUGAAAUCUCGGGACGGCGGCUUGGUCGCUUGCGGCCGACUGCUGAAACUUGAUUAAACCAUAUCAUUUAGAGGAAGGUGAANUCGUAACA